AGUGAACGCUGGCGGUAGGCCUAACACAUGCAAGUCGAACGGCAGCACAGGAGAGCUUGCUCUCUGGGUGGCGAGUGGCGGACGGGUGAGGAAUACAUCGGAAUCUACUUUUUCGUGGGGGAUAACGUAGGGAAACUUACGCUAAUACCGCAUACGACCUACGGGUGAAAGCAGGGGACCUUCGGGCCUUGCGCGAUUGAAUGAGCUGAUGGCGGAUUAGCUAGUUGGCGGGGUAAAGGCCCACCAAGGCGACGAUCCGUAGCUGGUCUGAGAGGAUGAUCAGCCACACUGGAACUGAGACACGGUCCAGACUCCUACGGGAGGCAGCAGUGGGGAAUAUUGGACAAUGGGCGCAAGCCUGAUCCAGCCAUAGCGCGUGGGUGAAGAAGGCCUUCGGGUUGUAAAGCCCUUUUGUUGGGAAAGAAAUCCAGCUGGCUAAUACCCGGUUGGGAUGACGGUACCCAAAGAAUAAGCACCGGCUAACCUCGUGCCAGCCGCCGCAGUAA
rnacentral:rRNA from 1 species